rnacentral:rRNA from 1 species
GUGGGGAAUAUUGGACAAUGGGCGGAAGCCUGAUCCAGCAAUACCGCGUGUGUGAAGAAGGCCUUAGGGUUGUAAAGCACUUUUAAUCGGGAGGAAUACCUGUUGGCUAAUACCUGACAGACUGACAUUACCGAUAGAAAAAGCACCGGCUAACUCCGUGCCAGCAGCCGCGGUAAUACGGAGGGUGCAAGCGUUAAUCGGAAUUACUGGGCGUAAAGCGUGCGUAGGUGGUUAAUUAAGUCAGAUGUGAAAGCCCUGGGCUUAACCUGGGAACUGCAUUUGAGACUGGUUAGCUAGAGUUGAGUAGAGGUAAGUGGAAUUUCAGGUGUAGCGGUGAAAUGCGUAGAGAUCUGAAGGAACACCAGUGGCGAAGGCGACUUACUGGACUCAAACUGACGCUGAGGUACGAAAGCGUGGGUAGCAAACAGGAUUAGAUACCCGAGUAGUCC